rnacentral:rRNA from 1 species
CGUCCGGACUGUUGAUGCGGAGAGGGCAACUUUUCUGCGUCGACGAGAAGCUAGUCAAACUUGGUCAUUUAGAGGAAGUAAAAGUCGUAACAAGGUUUCCGUAGGUGAACCUGCGGAAGGAUCAUUAUUGAUUUAUUAUAUCAGUGGAAUUUUUUAUUCGCCGAAAGGCAAAUUAAUAACUAAAUUAAAAUUAUUUAAUCAAAACUUUUAACAAUGGAUCUCUUGGUUCUCGCAUCGAUGAAGAACGCAGCGAAACGCGAUAUGUUUUGUGAAUUGCAGAAGUGAAUCAUCAAUUUUUGAACGCACAUUGCGCCUUGUGGUAUUCCGCAAGGCAUGUCUGUUUGAGCGUUGUUUCUCUAUGAGGUCGAAAUUCUUCCUUGAAAUAUAAGAGCAAACACGUUUGACAAAAUUAUUCAACCUCAGAUCAGACAGGACUACCCGCUGAACUUAAGCAUAUCAAUAAGCGGAGGAAAAGAAACCAACCGGGAUUGCCUUAGUAACGGCGAGUGAAGCGGCAAGAGCUCAAAUUUGAAAUCCCCUUGGGGAGUUGUAAUUUGUAGGUUGUGACCUGAGCAAGCAACACAAGUCUCCUGGAACGGAGUGCCUUAGAGGGUGAGAGCCCCGUAAGUUGUAGCUCAUUGUAGGUUGCUUCCAAAGAGUCGAGUUGUUUGGGAAUGCAGCUCUAAGUGGGUGGUAAAUUCCAUCUAAAGCUAAAUAUUGGCGAGAGACCGAUAGCGAACAAGUACAGUGAUGGAAAGAUGAAAAGAACUUUGAAAAGAGAGUGAAAAAGUACGUGAAAUUGUUAAAAGGGAAGGGUACUAACUGAGACUUGGAGGUUAUGUUCAGCUGCCGUUCGCGGUAGUGUAUUCAUUUCUUCUAGGCCAGGGAGAGGUAUUGGGGUAAGAAAAAGAGGUAGGAA